rnacentral:rRNA from 1 species
AAUUCGAUGCAACGCGAAGAACCUUACCUGGGUUUGACAUAUACCGGAAAGCUGCAGAGAUGUGGCCCCCUUGUGGUCGGUAUACAGGUGGUGCAUGGCUGUCGUCAGCUCGUGUCGUGAGAUGUUGGGUUAAGUCCCGCAACGAGCGCAACCCUAUCUUAUGUUGCCAGCACGUUAUGGUGGGGACUCGUAAGAGACUGCCGGGGUCAACUCGGAGGAAGGUGGGGACGACGUCAAGUCAUCAUGCCCCUUAUGUCCAGGGCUUCACACAUGCUACAAUGGCCAGUACAGAGGGCUGCGAGACCGUGAGGUGGAGCGAAUCCCUUAAAGCUGGUCUCAGUUCGGAUCGGGGUCUGCAACUCGACCCCGUGAAGUCGGAGUCGCUAGUAAUCGCAGAUCAGCAACGCUGCGGUGAAUACGUUCCCGGGCCUU